rnacentral:rRNA from 1 species
CACGUAGGCGGCUUUUUAAGUCAGGGGUGAAAUCCUGGAGCUCAACUCCAGAACUGCCUUUGAUACUGAGAGGCUUGAGUCCGGGAGAGGUGAGUGGAACUGCGAGUGUAGAGGUGAAAUUCGUAGAUAUUCGCAAGAACACCAGUGGCGAAGGCGGCUCACUGGCCCGGUACUGACGCUGAGGUGCGAAAGCUGGGAGCAAACA